AGAGUUUGAUCCUGGCUCAGAACGAACGCUGGCGGCGUGCUUAACACAUGCAAGUCGCGUGCGCAGUUGCCGUAGCAAUACGGUGAUGGGCGCACGGCGCACGGGUGCGUAACACGUGGGCAAUCUGCCCUUUGAUGGGGAAUAACCCGCCGAAAGGCGGGCUAAUUCCGCAUAAGAUUCCCGAGACUUCGGUCUUGGGAUUGAAAGCAGCAAUGCGUCGAAGGAGGAGCCCGCGCCCGAUUAGCUAGUUGGUGAGGUAACGGCUCACCAAGGCAAUGAUCGGUAGCUGGUCUGAGAGGAUGAUCAGCCACACUGGAACUGAGACACGGUCCAGACUCCUACGGGAGGCAGCAGUGGGGAAUCUUGCACAAUGGGCGAAAGCCUGAUGCAGCGACGCCGCGUGGGGGAUGAAGCAUUUCGGUGUGUAAACCCCUUUCGACUGGGACGAAUGCCUCGCAAGAGGAGUGACGGUACCAGUAGAAGAAGCCCCGGCUAACUACGUGCCAGCAGCCGCGGUAAGACGUAGGGGGCCAGCGUUGUUCGGAAUUACUGGGUGUAAAGGGUUCGUAGGCGGUGCGGCAAGUUGGGAGUGAAAUCUCUGGGCUCAACCCAGAGGCUGCUUCCAAAACUGCUGUGCUCGAGUGUGAGAGAGGCGCGUGGAAUUGCAGGUGUAGCGGUGAAAUGCGUAGAUAUCUGCAGGAACACCCGUGGCGAAAGCGGCGCGCUGGAUCACUACUGACGCUGAGGAACGAAAGCUAGGGGAGCAAACAGGAUUAGAUACCCUAGUAGUCC
rnacentral:rRNA from 1 species